GCAUAAUUGAAAUGUUGAUGGACACUGGACCCCCUGUGACAGCUUCUGAACUUGAUCCUGGCGACAUAGCACCAAAUGUUGGUUUGGUAUCCAUAGAAACGCAACAAAUAAUACAAAUGGAAAAUCUCUGGAUGAACAAAGAAAGACCUCUCGUGGUGAUUGCAGGUUCCUUAUCCUGACCUCCACUUCGGGCUAUCGUACACAGCGAUGGCUUGUCUGUACUGUUGCAUCGGUACAAAGAAAAAGUAGAGUUUAUAUUUGUUUACAUCAGAGAAGCUCAUCCUAAAGACGGAUGGAGAAUGGGAUCGCAUUUUAGUUUCAUUGAAAAUCACAGAACGCUGGAAGACAGACUGGCAGCUGCCAGAUCGCUUAUCAAAAUGGACAAAUUUAAUAUUCUGACGUCCGACAUUGAGAGUCUGAAUAAAUGUCGUGUAGUGGUGGACAACAUGGAGGAUGAUUUCUCGGUUGGUUACGCUGCCUCUCCAGAUCGUGUAUAUGUAAUUGAAAAGGGAAAGAUUGCGUAUGUAGGAAGGAGUAUACUAAUUCAGUUAGAAGAACCAGAAAAAUUAAUGACAGAUGAACUUUGUGAAUGGUUGGAAGAGCGCUUCCCGGAUUCUAAACUAUAACUUUUGGUAUUAUAUUUUAAUUGCAUGGUUGUAUGCUAUAUGACACAACAUGUCGCCGUACAAGGUACUUAUGACGUCACUUAGGUAGCCGUCUCCAUGACGACCGAUGUGGCUGAAUCCCC